rnacentral:lncRNA from 1 species
GAAGCCUUGCUUGCCUCCUCUCUCAUCUUGGAGUAGCUCUCCAUCCCUUGGGCUCCUCCACCACUCUGCCUUUACUCCUAUUGUAGCAUCCUCUGCACUGAGCUGCUUGCCAGCCUCCCCGCUAGAUCCUCGAGGGCUGAGAAAGCAUCUGUGUUAUUCAACUCUGGUUGUGCCUGGCACCCAGGAAGAAUUUAUAGAAUGAAAUAAGAUUCAUGGCUGGGUAUGGU